UGAUUUCGCCCUGCAGUUCAAUCUUAAAAGAUUGAGCUUGGUCUGGUGCUAGCCAGACUACAUAUGCGCAGUAGUCACUGUGCAAUUAUGAGUUAGACCCAAACAGCUGCCCUGCUAAAGGUCAACUCCCGAGUGAAAACAUAACAUGUUUAGCUUGUCGGGGCUUUCCCAAGCUGAGGCAUCUGUCCGUGUCUCCGUCCCAAACCACAUUGCUUGAAGGGAGCAGAGCAGAGAGCACCCCAGUUAGGGCUGCAGCCAGCACCCUCUCUACUGUGCCUCCCAAUACUGAAAUGGGGGUGAUGAGAAGGUUGCUGCUACCCUCACCAUUCAGACACCAACCUGUUCAUGCCAGGAAGGUUACCCCAGAAGUAGCGGGCGCGGUGGGCAGCAGACACUUCCUUGGCAUCG